CAGUCGCCGCGGUAACACGAUGGGGGCAAGCGUUGUUCGGAAUUAUUGGGCGUAAAGGGUGCGUAGGCGGCUUGACAAGUCUUGUGUGAAAUCUAUGGGCUCAACCCAUAGUCUGCACGGGAAACUGUCGGGCUUGAGAAUGGGAGAGGUGAGUGGAAUUUCCGGUGUAGCGGUGAAAUGCGUAGAUAUCGGAAGGAACACCUGUGGCGAAAGCGGCUCACUGGACCAUUUCUGACGCUGAUGCACGAAAGCUAGGGGAGCAAACAGGAUUAGAUACCCCGGUAGUCCCUGUCUCUUAUAC
rnacentral:rRNA from 1 species